rnacentral:rRNA from 1 species
AGCUCCAAUAGCGUAUACUAAAGUUGUUGCAGUUAAAAAGCUCGUAGUUGAAUUUCUGGUCUCGGACAGCGGUCUGCCUCAAACGAGGUACGCACCACCUGUUCAGGUCCAUCCUCGGAGAAAACAUGCCUGUGAUUCAGUUCAUGGGUAUGGGAUCUUCGUCAUUUACUGUGAGCAAAAUAGAGUGUUCAAAGCAGGCUUAUGCCGUUGAAUACAUUAGCAUGGAAUAAUAAAAUAAGACCUUGGUCUAUUUUGUUGGUUUGUACUCCAAGGUAAUGAUUAAUAGGGAUAGUUGGGGGUAUUCGUAUUCAAUUGUCAGAGGUGAAAUUCUUGGAUUUAUGGAAGACGAACUACUGCGAAAGCAUUUACCAAGGAUGUUUUCAUUAAUCAAGAACGAAGUU